rnacentral:lncRNA from 1 species
GGGCACCUGGAGGCACGCAUCAUACAGAAGACAUAUGUCCUACAGCUGAGCCACAUGCUGCCAUCUAACUGGAAAGCAGGGCUGGUGCUCAGUCCUACAAAGCCAGGAACAGCUCAGGCAUGUCUGAAGAAGACAGAGGGAGAAUAGCAAUGCAAGUGACAUGGAAACCCAGACAGACACAGACAGAGAUCAAAGAGAGGAGCAGCUGGAUACCUGACACAAGCCAACACUUCUGAGCAGGGCAGUUUCUGAUCUUCUGAGUCAAUACGCCAGGGGAAAUGAGAGCUGAACAGUGACAAAGGAAGGAACUUCUCUAACCUCCCUGAAACAUCCCUCCCUCAUCCCUCAUUCAUAUCUCACUGAUCAAGGCCUCUGAACCAUAAAUCACCAUGCACCAGACUAAAGGUUUUCCUGCUCUGGAAAUGCUGAUGCCUCUGUUCAG